UGAUACUGAGCCAGUGGCGGAGAGAACAGGCAGAUCGUAAAGACGCCGUAAAUACAUCCUUGUAGGCUCGAGCCGCGCCAUCCUUGGCGCGGACGCUUU
rnacentral:ncRNA from 1 species